rnacentral:ribozyme from 1 species
UGCCCAGCAACUCAUAUCCCUACCUCCUCGCGGUACUGGCCUGGGUACGAGUAACCUUGGGGAAGAUCGGGUAACCAACCCUUGUGGGAACCCUUGUCUUAUGCUGACAGGGAA